rnacentral:misc_RNA from 1 species
GAUGAAGAACGCAGCGAAAUGCGAUACUUGGUGUGAAUUGCAGAAUCCCGUGAACCAUCGAGUCUUUGAACGCAAGUUGCGCCCGAAGCCAUUAGGCCGAGGGCACGCCUGCCUGGGUGUCACACGUCGUUGCCCCCCCAUCUACUCCUUCGGGAUUGCGGGGGGCGGAUGAUGGCCUCCCGUGCGCCUCGUCGCGCGGUUGGCAUAAAUGCCAAGUCCUCGGCGACGCACGCCACGACAAUCGGUGGUUGCGAAACCUCGGUUGCCCGUCGUGUGCGGUCGUCGCGCAUCGAGGGCUCGAAAAAAUUGCCGGGCUCCGGCUCGGCUUUCAACGCGACCCCAGGUCAGGCGGGGUUACCCGCUGAAUUUAAGCAUAUCAAUAAGCGGAGG